rnacentral:rRNA from 1 species
GAUGAACGCUGGCGGCGUGCCUAAUACAUGCAAGUCGAGCGAACAGACGAGGAGCUUGCUCCUCUGACGUUAGCGGCGGACGGGUGAGUAACACGUGGAUAACCUACCUAUAAGACUGGGAUAACUUCGGGAAACCGGAGCUAAUACCGGAUAAUAUAUUGAACCGCAUGGUUCAAUAGUGAAAGACGGUUUUGCUGUCACUUAUAGAUGGAUCCGCGCCGCAUUAGCUAGUUGGUAUGGUAACGGCUUACCAAGGCAACGAUGCGUAGCCGACCUGAGAGGGUGAUCGGCCACACUGGAAAGGAGACACGGUCCAGACUCCUACGGGAGGCAGCAGUAGGGAAUCUUCCGCAAUGGGCGAAAGCCUGACGGAGCAACGCCGCGUGAGUGAUGAAGGUCUUCGGAUCGUAAAACUCUGUUAUUAGGGAAGAACAAAUGUGUAAGUAACUAUGCACGUCUUGACGGUACCUAAUCAGAAAGCCACGGCUAACUACGUG